UACGUAGGGAGCAAGCGUUGUCCGGAUUCACUGGGCGUAAAGGGUGCGCAGGCGGAUCGGUAAGUCAGAGGUGAAAUCUCACAGCUCAACUGUGAAACUGCCUUUGAUACUGCUGAUCUUGAGUUAGGGAGAGGUUGAUGGAAUUCCAGGUGUAGCGGUGAAAUGCGUAGAUAUCUGGAAGAACACCAGUGGCGAAGGCGGUCAACUGGCCCUAAACUGACGCUCAUGCACGAAAGCGUGGGGAGCAAACAGG
rnacentral:rRNA from 1 species